rnacentral:snRNA from 11 species
GUGCUCACUUCGGCAGCACAUAUACUAAAAUUGGAAUUAUGCAGAGAAGAUUAG